ACUUUUGCAAUGAGUAAAAAACACAAGAAAUAAAACAUCUGACAUGUAUCAAACUUAUCAGACAACCUCAACAUUGUUAAACUUGUGUGUUGGUGCAACAUUACAAUGACUUCUUAUCAUCAAACAUGAUAAAACGUACUGUGACUGUUUUCUAUACAUCAUCUAAAAUUUGACUUUGUUGAAUCAUUAUUCGUGGUAUCAAAAAGAAACAACUACUUUUGCCAGAAAUAGACAAUUUAAUAUAUAUAUAAUCCCCUUCCAUAUGUGACACAUGUACAUUUUACCAUAAUUAAAAAAAUGCACUUUUACCAAUUUGAUACUUAUUUUACAUAAUUACAAUUUCUUCUUUUAAAUUUUAUCCUUUAAAUCUGUCAGUAUGUGAUAAAUACAGAAAAUCUUUGAAUCUUGAUUCCUCAGCUGCCUGGUUGAAAGUGUUUUUAGGGAAAAUUACAGAGCGAGACAAACUCUCAGAGGCGUGCGUUAAAAUCUUUGUUUAGUAAAUCCUUUAAAAUAAGACGACAUCAAGUUUUACUGUUGAAAACUUCCAUCACAAACACGCCUCCAGCUCUGUGAUUUUCCUGCCACUAAUUCUUUGAAAACCACUGAAUCCUCCUUUAAAGAUUUUAAAUGUUGGUUCAUGUGAACAGUGUGAAUCAGACACAUGAAUAAAAAAAACACUCCGCAGCGUCGUUUAGUUUCCAUUUGGCCUUUUUUUUUUAUUCAUCAAAACACACAUACGUAUCUCAGGCUCCAUCAUCACAGUAUUUCUAGUCAAAGUCGGACCUUCCUGUGGUGUCAGCAGGUCCAUCUCUACAUCGUGUGUACAUCAGAGGCAGGCUGGGCCAACAGUUUUAGUUCAAACACAAAAAAAAAAGUCAACAAAAAAAAAAAAUAAAAAAAAAUAAAAAAAAAAAAUAGCAAAGAGUUACAGAGUCAUGUAAAGUUUCACCAGCAGAUACAGUGUUGAGUCUACAGUCUGUUAACCUAGGCAGCUUCAGCCGGACACGACCAGAAGAAGACAAAGAAUCUGAGACUAAAAAAAAAAAAAAAAAAAGGAAGGAGAGGAUACAGAUUGUAGCUGGAACAAACAUCCUCAGAGGGAAUGAAACGCCGUCGCCGCCGCUGCCGCCGGUGGAGACGACUCGUCCUAAAAACCCGACGAACUGAAGCGUCACAUUCAGACGCUCCAGCUGUACGACGACAGCAGAGCAAGAAAACAAGAGACUAAAAGCAACGUAGAGCUUAAAGCCAAAACUUAACUAGCUCGUGUUUAUUCUAAGAAGAACAGGAGGAGGGAACAAAAAAAAAGGUUAAAGGUCACCUGACAUGGAAGCGGGGGACCUCCGGUUCACCACGAGGCCCAAAAACUCACCAACAACCAGAGAGACAAACACCCAUAACAUCUCUGAUCAGCUCUGGCUGCCCCCCCCCCCCUCACCUCCCCUCCCCUCCGUCCACUGAUUACUGGUCAAAACCCAUCAGCCAAUCACUGCAGAGCUUGCUCAUCAUUGGUGGAAUGAGUCACAGACUUUUGACAGCAGAGUUUUAGUGUUUAACUGUCUGAAAACUGAAUUUUGACACAAAAAAAAGGACAAAAGCAGACAGACAGCUGCUCUACAGUAGUUAUUGUUCUUUUUAUCAGAUGCACCAAACCAGUUUUAUUUCAGAUUUUUAAAAAGUCUCCCAAAACUGGACACGGACACCACAGAACCAGGAAGUAUUCAGAUAUUCUGAAGGUCUGAUGUUUUCCCUCCAAGGUUUUAUUACAUGAAAUAAUUCCAUGAUGAAUUUUUUUUUAAAAAAAAAACACACACUAGUGAGGCUAACAGUGGACAUUUUAUCCUGAUGGUGGCGCCGGAGGAAAGGUCAGAGGUCACCAGGAAGAGGAUUCUUGAUGAAACUGAAUGAUAGUUGUUGAGCUGUUAAGUGUUGGACGGACACACGGACUGUUCACGUUCACGUUCUCCUCCCGUGUUACUGAAACCUGUCAGAGACUUUAUGGACAUUUUCUGUUUCUUUAGGUGUGAAAGGUCAUAGAGGUCAUGUGACCAGCAGCAGCAGCAGCAGACGACAACAAAACUAAUUUAAAUUAUAAAUCCUUAAAAACGACACCCGUGGUUACCGGCGGUAACGCAAGACAUCAGUUUGACCUUCGUUUUGUUUCCUCGUCGUUACGCGACACGUUCGCACUAAUUACAUCCAACUUCUAAUGAAAACGAACAUAUAAAAGGUUACUGAUGAGUAAAUACAUGUAAGAGCUUCAGCAGAAUGAUUGGUAGCGAUAAACGGGAUGAAAAUUGUGUUUGAUAUGAUGAAAAUGUUCAGGAUUAUAACUUUAACUCAAGGGUCCACUUACUCGCUUUUUACUUCAGUUAAGAUGAUUUUAUUGAGCUCAUGUUUCUCAGGUCAAGAAUGAACUCUGACGCUCAAGUGCCGUCUCUUUUAAAAAUGGGGCUAAACUUGGUGAAGGUUUGGAGGAGGUUGGGUGAAGGUUUGGCGGAGGUUGGGUGAAGGUUUGGCGGAGGUUUGGAGGAGGUGUGAGCGGUGCAGCAGGUGGACGGGUGUGAGGUUAAGCGCCUGAGUUUUUCCCUUAGUGCCUUUUUCUUUUCAUAUGGGGUUAAUGAAAGAGGGACUGGGUGUCCGUCCACCUGCUGACAGUUCAGUUUCAGUCCAAACAAACAAACAAACAAACAGGACAGCAGAUCAUUUUACUGAUGAAAGUGAAGGAAAAAAGGCUGCAAAAAUUAGCCGAUGGACAGAAGAUGAAGAGCUUCCAGCAUCUUAAAAUGUGACGGCACAUCUGAUGUUUUGGGGAAACAGUGAUUUUGACACAUUUUAUAAACCGAACGACAAACAGAUUAACGAGGAGACGAAGUGUCGCAGCUGCAGCGUGCAAACAUUCAACCUGAGG